AAAGUGCAGGAUUCCCUCUUCUUGUGGAGUAAAAUUAGACUCCGGUGAAAUUUGUGAGUGACUGCGCUUACUCAGAAAUUCUCCCCAUGGGGAAAGCGCAAUGCCUUCACUCAUAAAAAGAGAGAAUCGCCCACGGUCUAAAUGACUGUGGACUUUUGACAGUAUGACCAUGGAAGGCAACAGACACAGCCCCACGACUCAGGAGAAAUGAGCAGAAAAGGAGCCUGAGAAAGCACGCCGCUUCUGCCGCUCCCAGGGACGCCACACACAUCUGUGCUUCCCCUCCGAGGCCAGACUGAUUCACUUGGCACCCACUGCAUUUUAGUAAAUGGACUCAAUAAAACAUCCCUGUGAAGCAGAUUCAGAAUAUGAAGGCUUCAGGAAUUCCACAGAGAAGACCUGGACCUAUAGUUCCUGUGUGCUUUCUUCUGGUGUUCAGUGCACUCAAAACUAGCUUCAUCCAGCCUGAAUCCACGAGAACAGCCACAGGUGGGAGGCCGCUACUUCCGGAGACCAGGCACACCACUGUUCGUUGUUGUCUAGCAUGUGACUGUCUGGUUAUCAUCUUCCUCGACCAAGAGAAUAGUUCUGUAAUUGGCUCUUUCAUUCUAAUCUGAUUCUUUAUUCUACCUCACGAAGUAAUACUGGAGGGAGCUACUCUGUGAAUAAGCUCAAAAUUCCCCUGCUUUGGGUCUCAAUCUCAAAGUCUUAGUAGGUUUGUCAAGAUAAGGCUAUAGCUGGGAGAAAUUACCAAUGUCAAUAAUACCAAUGUCAAUAAAAGGCUAU